AGGACGAACGCUGGCGGCGUGCUUAACACAUGCAAGUCGAGCGGUAAGGCUCCUUCGGGAGUACACGAGCGGCGAACGGGUGAGUAACACGUGAGUAAUCUGCCCUUCACUUCGGGAUAACCACCGGAAACGGUGGCUAAUACCGAAUACGACGAGUCCCGGCACCGGGUGCUCGUGGAAAGUUUUCUCGGUGAAGGAUGUGCUCGCGGCCUAUCAGCUUGUUGGUGAGGUAACGGCUCACCAAGGCUUCGACGGGUAGCCGGCCUGAGAGGGUGACCGGCACACUGGGACUGAGACACGGCCCAGACUCCUACGGGAGGCCAGCAGUGGGGAAUAUUGGACAAUGGGCGAAAGCCUGGAUCCAGCAACGCCGCGUGAGGGAUGACGGCCUUCGAGGUUGUAAACCUCUUUACAGUAGUCGACGAAGCGCCUUUAACGGUGGUGACGGUAGAUACAGAAGA
rnacentral:rRNA from 1 species